GACGAACGCUGGCGGCGUGCCUAAUACAUGCAAGUCGAACGCACUCUCGUUUAGAUUGAAGGAGCUUGCUCCUGAUUGAUAAACAUUUGAGUGAGUGGCGGACGGGUGAGUAACACGUGGGUAACCUGCCCUAAAGUGGGGGAUAACAUUUGGAAACAGAUGCUAAUACCGCAUAAAACCUAAACACCGCAUGGUGUAGGGUUGAAAGAUGGUUUCGGCUAUCACUUUAGGAUGGACCCGCGGUGCAUUAGUUAGUUGGUGAGGUAAAGGGCUCACCAAGACCGUGAUGCAUAGCCGACCUGAGAGGGUAAUCGGCCACACUGGGACUGAGACACGGCCCAGACUCCUACGGGAGGCAGCAGUAGGGAAUCUUCCACAAUGGACGAAAGUCUGAUGGAGCAACGCCGCGUGAGUGAAGAAGGUUUUCGGAUCGUAAAACUCUGUUGUUGGAGAAGAAUGUAUCUGAUAGUAACUGAUCAGGUAGUGACGGUAUCCAACCAGAAAGCCACGG
rnacentral:rRNA from 1 species